GAUGAACGCUGGCGGCACGCCUAAUACAUGCAAGUCGAGCGAACGGACGGGGAUCUCGCUCCUCUGCCGUUAGCGGCGGGCGGGUGAGUAAUACGUGGAUAACCGACAUAUAAGACUGGCAUCACUUCGGGGGACCGGAUCUAAUACCGGAUCAUAUAUUGAACCGCAUGGUUCAUUGGUGCUCGACGUUUUUGCUGACCCUAAUAGAUGGUUCCGCGUCGCAUUAGCUAGUUGGUAAGGUAACGGCUUACCAAGGCUACGAUGCGUAGCUGACCUGAGAGGAUGAUCAGCCACACUGGAACUGAGACACGGUCCAGACUCCUACGGGAGGCAGCAGUGGGGAAUAUUCGACAAUGGGCGAAAGCCUGACCCAGCAACGCCGCGUGAGUGAAGAAGGUCUUCGGAUCGUAAAGCUCUUUUAUUUGGGAAGAAGAGAAGUAUGAUAAUCCAUUGAUGUCUUGACGGUACCUAAAGAAUAAGCACCGGCUAACUUCGUG
rnacentral:rRNA from 1 species